UGUACCUGUCUGUCCAAGAGGUAGGAGAGUAGAGCAGGACCAAGAGGUGUUCUGUACCUGUCUGUCCAGGAGGGAGGAGAGUAGAGCAGGACCAAGAGGUGUUCUGUACCUGUCUGUCCAGGAGGGAGGAGAGUAGAGCAGGACCAAGAGGUGUUCUGUACCUGUCUGUCCAGGAGGGAGGAGAGUAGAGCAGGACCAAGAGGUGUUCUGUACCUGUCUGUCCAGGAGGGAGGAGAGUAGAGCAGGACCAGGAGGUGUUCUGUACCUGUCUGUCCAGGAGGGAGGAGAGUAGAGCAGGACCAGGAGGUGUUCUGUACCUGUCUGUCCAGGAGGGAGGAGAGUAGAGCAGGACCAAGAGGUGUUCUCUACCUGUCUGUCCAGGAGGGAGGAGAGUAGAGCAGGACCAAGAGGUGUUCUGUACCUGUCUGUCCAAGAGGGA